rnacentral:rRNA from 1 species
CGGCACAGAGGGAAGCCAGGUGGCGACACCGCGCGGAACCGAAAGCCGUUCUCAGUUCGGAUCGGAGUCUGCAACCCGACUCCGUGAAGCUGGAUUCGCUAGUAAUCGCGGAUCAGCAUGCCGCGGUGAAUACGUUCCCGGGCCUUGUACACACCGCCCGUCACACCAUGAGAGUCGGGAACACCCGAAGUCCGUAGCCUAACCGCAAGGAGGGCGCGGCCGAAGGUGGGUUCGAUAAUUGGGGUGAAGUCGUAACAAGGUAUC